CUUCUUUUAUAAACAAAAACCAAUACAAAAUUAAAAACUAACUUCAUCAAAAACCAAGUCUCUAAGCAAUGGAUGUCUUGGCUCCUCACACGAUGAAGAACGUGGCAUAAUGUGUUAAGUAACCGGAGUUGCAAACAUCAUGACAGGUUAAUCUUUGAAUGCAAAUUGCGCUAAACUCGAUCUCGGUCGAGAAGCAUGGGUGUGACAGUACUACAUCUUUUAUAAUAAUUCUUAUUCUAAGCGAAUAAGUAAAUAAUAUAUAAGACAAACAACACGUAGUCUGCCAUACGCAGGAAGACCCGCUGAACUGAAGCAUCUCAUUAAGCGG
rnacentral:rRNA from 1 species